rnacentral:rRNA from 1 species
GACGAACCGAGCGAACGUUGUUCGGAGUAACUGGGCUUAAAGGGCGCGUAGGCGGGCCGCCAAGUUCGAGGUGAAAUCCUCCGGCUCAACCGGAGAACUGCCUCGAAUACUGGAGGCCUCGAGGCGGGUAGGGGCGUGCGGAACUGUGGGUGGAGCGGUGAAAUGCGUUGAUAUCCACAGGAACUCCGGUGGCGAAGGCACUUUACUGGGCUAUUACUAACACUCAGAGACGAAAGCUAGGGUAGCAAAUGGG